CCUACGGGAGGCUGCAGUCGAGAAUCAUUCACAAUGGGGGAAACCCUGAUGGUGCGACGCCGCGUGGGGGAAUGAAGGUCUUCGGAUUGUAAACUCCUGUCAUGUGGGAGCAAAUGAAAAAGAUAGUACCACAAGAGGAAGAGACGGCUAAGUCUGUGCCAGCAGCCGCGGUAAUACAGAGGUCUCAAUCGUUGUUCGGAAUGACUGGGCGUAAAGCGUUCGUAGGCUGUUGCGUAAGUCGUGUGGGAACGGCACGGGCUAAACCCGCGGACGGCACAUGAUACUGUGAGACUAGAGUGAUGGAGGGGGAAGCGGAAUUGUCGGUGUAGCAGUGAAAUGCGUAGAGAUC
rnacentral:rRNA from 1 species